UACGUAGGGGGCGAGCGUUGUCCGGAAUGAUUGGGCGUAAAGGGCGCGCAGGCGGCCAUUCAAGUCAGUAGUGGAAGUCCAUUUUUCAAGGGUGGAAGUGCUAUUGAAACUGUAUGGCUUGAGUGCGGGAGAGGUUAUCGGAAUUCCCGGUGUAGCGGUGAAAUGCGUAGAGAUCGGGAGGAACACCAGUGGCGAAGGCGGGUAACUGGACCGCAACUGACGCUGAGGCGCGAAAGUGUGGGGAGCAAACAGGAUUAGAUACCCCCGUAGUCCCUGA
rnacentral:rRNA from 1 species